ACAAUCUUCACCAAAUUACUUGAAAAUGCUACAUUUAAAUCCUUAAUCUGCUGUUCAACAUCCUCUUCCCAAACUUGAUUCCUAACAAUCCUACUCACCCUCAAACCAAUCUUUUCCACAGAAUUAUCUACAGAUCCUGUCGCAAAAAGUGCUUUCAUCUUCUCCAGAUCACUCCUUAAUCCUUCUUUCUCAAAUUUCUCCACUACUUUGUCCCGUGCACCCUUUGACACACCAUAACCUUUUUUCUUCAUGGUUUCAACUAAAGCCCAAAAUUGCUCAACGGGCCCAUUAACACCCAGAAUUCCCAGCAUCAAAUUAUAAGCUCUGGAGCUCAAUCUUUCACUGUCCUUCUCCAAAACCCAAUCGAAAAACCUUUGAGCCACAUCAGGGCUAGACUCGAGGGACUUCAAGACUUUCAAUACCAAUUCAUGGUUAAUAACAACACUGUUUAACUCCAAUUCUUUGGUAAUAUCAUUGAUAUCAGUAAAUUUAGUGAAAAUAUC
rnacentral:misc_RNA from 1 species